UACGUAGGCAGCGAGCGUUGUUCGGAAUUACUGGGCGUAAAGAGUGUGUAGGCGGUGCUCUAAGUUCGGUGUGAAAUCUCCUGGCUCAACUGGGAGGGUGCGCCGGAAACUGGAGUGCUUGAGCGUGGGAGAGGAAAGCGGAACUCCUGGUGUAGCGGUGAAAUGCGUAGAUAUCAGGAGGAACACCUGUGGUGUAGACGGCUUUCUGGACCAUAGCUGACGCUGAGACACGAAAGCGUGGGUAGCAAACAGG
rnacentral:rRNA from 1 species